rnacentral:rRNA from 1 species
CAGCAGCCGCGGGAAUACGGAGGGAGCUAGCGUUGUUCGGAAUUACUGGGCGUAAAGCGCGCGUAGGCGGUUACUCAAGUCAGAGGUGAAAGCCCGGGGCUCAACCCCGGAACUGCCUUUGAAACUAGGUGACUAGAAUCUUGGAGAGGUCAGUGGAAUUCCGAGUGUAGAGGUGAAAUUCGUAGAUAUUCGGAAGAACACCAGUGGCGAAGGCGACUGACUGGACAAGUAUUGACGCUGAGGUGCGAAAGCGUGGGGAGCAAACAGGAUUAGAUACCCCGGUAGUCCCUGUCUCUUAUAC